AAACUUUCAACUACGGAUCUCUUGGUUCCGGCAUCGAUGAAGAACGCACCGAAAUGCGAUACGUAAUGUGAAUUGCAAAUUCAGUGAAUCAUCGAGUCUUUGAACGCACAUUGCGCCCCCUGGUAUUCCGGGGGGCAUGCCUGUCCGAGCGUCAUUG
rnacentral:rRNA from 1 species